AAGACAUAAAGGGUUGGGCUUGUCAUGGGCAUGCGGCCAUGGGCAACACGCCUUGGACGAGCAUGACCGUGACACUCAUCAUCGGUGUCAGAAUCGUCGGCACUUUCUUCUCAAGCUAUGGUCUUCCACUUUCUUCUCAAGCUAUGGUCUUCCACUUUCUCCUUCCUAAGUUCCAACUCCCUUUGACGCGGUACUCUGAUCACCAAUGAUCCAAUUGCACUGUCAACCAUUGGCUCGUCGGAAUUGUUGACCAGAAAAUUUCCCCCCUCUUCCAAACCAGUCGACAGUGUCUCCUCCUCUGAUCUUACCAUCAAUUUGUUCUGCAGCCCUUGGGAUUGAAUCUUUAACCCAUCAACGGAGAGACUUUGUAAUCUUCAAUCUCUGGUGGCUAUUUUCUAUUACCGCAGCAGCUGUUAUCCCCAUUCAAUUCUCUCCCACAUGGGGCGGUGAAUGUGUUAUAAUCCAAUCUGGACAGAUGCCUAGUUUGGUCUGUUUUUAAACGAGGUUCAUUUGUUCCAAAUCAGAACGAGGAACAACUUCGUUCAUUCAUUCUAGAUCUGGAACGAGGGGCGUCCCUUGUCUUAGAUAGCCUUGUUUACUAUGAAGCGUUCCAGAUCAUUAAUUCCUCAUUCAAGUGGUUUGUUCCAUUUUGAUUGCUUUGGAAGUAGCAGCAAUAAGAGAGUUUGCAGAUAGGAGAAGGAAAAAGGGAGAGAGGUCGGAAGAAGACGUGCUUCAUAUUUUCUGGGAUUCUUAAUUUAUACUUUUCAAGAUCAUGUCUGAAAGCAAUAGCUCUUCUCAAAGUGAGCUUGAAGAGUUUGGCCGUUCAAAGCGGCAUAAGAAGAAUGGUAGAACGAAAACGGUAGAUGUUUUUACACAACAUUUCUUUUCCUAUUUGGCUUUGUAGUUUCACUUGUGGAUUUCUCCUUGUUAUUGUUACUAUUUGUGCAUCGAUAAGAAGAGGGAGCGAAGUUAGAAACAUCACCAUGAAAGGCGUAAGCAUAAGGCUAAAGAGGUAGACCACUAUUGUACUUGUGUACUAUUUUUCCCUUUGUUGCUGAUAAUGUUGUAAUUUCGAUGAAUUGAGAAAUGCCAUGGAAAUAACCUCUAUGUAUGUUAGAUUUAUGGAUACAUGAAUUUGUGGGAUGCAUGUACAUGUGAGAUCCAUGUACUUAGUUAAUAAUUGAAGAGUCAUGAGAGUCAGAUUCAUUUGGUUGAUACAUGUAUUAGAUUAUUCAUGUAUCACCAUAAUGAUAAUACAUGUAUUAUAUAGACUUGUUAUUUAAUAUUUGGUACAUGUAUGACUAUGGAGGAUAUUUCAAAAGGCUUGACAACUUUAAAAUAGAAUACAUCUCUUCCUCAUAAUUGUCCAUAAAACUGGUAUUAGAGCCAAGUUAACUAUGACUUCAUCUAGUUCAAUUCAUACCCAUGUCCCCUUAACAAAACAAAUUAUGGUUAAUAGAGUAUCCAAAUAGAGGCCUGGUUGGGACCUAUUGGAGCAUGGGACCAAUUAUAGUAAAUAGAAUGGAGGCCUUGUUGGGAUCUAUGAGAGCAUGGGACACAGUGGUGUAUGAGUUCAAGGAGGAGGAGAUGAAGAAGGAGAAGAAGGCGUUAUUCACAAUCCACCAAAGAGUAGAUGACGCCACGUUUGAGUUGAUCGUCCAUGCAAAAUCUUCUGAGAACGCUUGGGAGGUCUGGAGAUAGACUUUGAUGGUUUAGAUAGAGUGAAGAAAAUCUGCUUGCAAUAUUUACCCGUAGAUUUUGAGGCUCUACAUCAAGAAGAUUCAACAUCAAUAUGUGUUUACUUCCAUUGUGUAAACCCCAUCGUGUAAGAAAUGAGAAGACAUGAUGAGAAGGUAGAAGAAGUACGAGUUGUGGAGAAGAUUAUGAGAUUUUUACACUCAAGGUUUGACUACAUUGCCGUGGAAAUUGAAGAAUCUAAUAAACUUGAAGAAAUAUUAGUAGAGGAGGUUCAAGGCUCUAUACAAGUCUAUGAAGAAAGAGGCUUGAGAAAGAAGAAAGAAGACGUAUGGAGCAAGCACUGCAAGCCAACUCUUCCCAAAAGAAGGAUGGCUUCUCAAAAGGAGGCUACCUCGAGUAAGGGUAGCCUUGGUGGUCAAAAUGGAGGACGAGGGGAUCGCAAUAACUAAUCUAAUUUAUAAAAUAGCAAUCAUGUUGAUGAUAGUAAAGGAAUAGUCAUGGAAACAAUGAGGCGCGUGCUUGAGGCCGUGGUCGUGGAUGAGUCCUUGUCGACCAUGUCCAUGACUGCGGCCUCGGCUAGGCACCUCAUAGCUUCCACGACCAUUCCCUUUACUAUCAUCAAUAUGGUUGCUGCUUUGUUCAUUAGAGUGGUUAUCGUGACCAUCUUGUCCUUCCUUUUGACCACCACGUUUACCUCUUCAUAAACUUGUAGAGAGCCUUGAGGCUCCUUCGCCGAUAUCUUCUCAAGAUUAUGAGAUUCUUUAAUUGUCACGACAAUAGAGUCAACUUUGAGUGUAAAGAUUCCAGGAUUUUCUCUACAAAUUGUACUUCUACCUUCUCCCCAUGUCUCCAUUUGUUACCCUAGUUUAUAUAGUAGAAGUAAUCACAAAUUGAUUUCGAACCUUUUCGUUGUAGGGCUUCGAAAUCUGCUAGCAAGGCUUUCUCCAAUACCUCUUAAGCUUUCUUGUGCAUAGUGCCUUCUUCUCCUUCUUCAUCUCCUCCUUGAAUCCAUUCAUCAUCGCAUCCCAUGCUCCCGAUCAUCCCAACAAGGCCUCCAUUUGGAUACUCUAUUUACCAUAAUUAACUUGAUGAAGUCAUAUUUAACUUAGCUUUGAUACCAAUUUUGUUGACAAAUUUUGCUAUUUGGAAGAAUAGAUGUAUUCUAUCUCAAAGUUGAUAAUAAAUCUCUACAUAGAUGAUCUUUUAUAGGUUUUUUUUUGGAAGAUCCUUCCUGCCAUACAUAUACCAAAUAUUAAAUAACGAAUCUACCUAAUACUUGUAUUAUCGUUAUAGUGAUAUAUGAAUAAUCUAAUACCUUGCCAUACAUAUACCAAAUAUUAAAUAACGAAUCUACCUAAUAUUUGUACUAUCGUUAUAGUGAUAUAUGAAUAAUCUAAUACCUUGCCAUACAUAUACCAAAUAUUAAAUAACGAAUCUACCUAAUACUUGUACUAUCGUUAUAGUGAUAUAUGAAUAAUCUAAUACCUUGCCAUACAUAUACCAAAUAUUAAAUAACGAAUCUACCUAAUAUUUGUACUAUCGUUAUAGUGAUAUAUGAAUAAUCUAAUACCUUGCCAUACAUAUACCAAAUAUUAAAUAACGAAUCUACCUAAUACUUGUACUAUCGUUAUAGUGAUAUAUGAAUAAUCUAAUACCUUGCCAUACAUAUACCAAAUAUUAAAUAACGAAUCUACCUAAUACUUGUACUAUCGUUAUAGUGAUGUAUGAAUAAUCUAAUACAUGUAUCGAUCAAAUGAAUCUAACUCCCAUGACUUUUCAAUUAUUAACCAAGUACAUGGAUCUCUAAUAUACUUAUAUCUCACCGAUUUAUGUAUCCAUAAAUACAUGAAACAAAUUUAAUAUCUUACUGCUUUUACUCGUAUUAACAUCCUUUUGAUUAUUACUUCAGAACCCUUUUGAUUUAUUACUUCAGAACAUAUUGUGAUAAAGGAGAUCUAGCUUCUAACACAUGCAUCCAAUGUCUUAGAUUUUUGCUUCAAUGUAUUUUUAGUCUUUGGUAGGCCUGAUUUAUCCCAACGCAAUAGUGUAAGACAUGUACCUUUGUAUAUUUUAAGAAUGGGCAUCAAGAUAAUAUAAGUUUUCUAAUCAUUACGUGAGGCAUAAAGACUCCAAGCAUCAUUGAGGCACAAGCCUCAUGUAUAAAAGUUCUAAACCACUUAUAAUCUAAAGAAGGCAUAAGCUUUGAGGCUAAAAAAUUUGAGCCAUUCUAAGACAAGCCCUUUAGACUGAGGCUGAAAGUAUCGAUCUAUUUGCCAAAUGAUCUUAUUGUUUCUAGUCCUGCAAUCUUUAGACUGCAUCUAUAGUUGGUUUUGUUUUUGGAGUGGUUUCUGAAUUGGAUAUAAUAUGAGAUGUUUCUGUGACCAUUUACUGAUUGAUUCUUUGAUAUUGGAGUUGGGGUCCGUGUCAUGAUGAUCGGGCUGUUGAUUGGGAGUUGAUGUAUAGAAACAGCCAGAAGAGAGUAGUGGCCCUGUGCCGCUUUCCAAGUUUUUAUUGCGGGAGAAGGAUGAUGGUACUCGGCGGAGUGCUGUCUCUGGCAAAAAGAUUUUGUUGAAACUUGACAAAUCAAAGGAAGACAAAGCAGAGGAAAACAGAAGAAAUGAAUUGCUGAAAUUCUUGAACUCUAGCUUUGACUAAUGGCUGUGUAUUAAGAAUGAAGGAAAGAGGCAUUAUUAGCUCAGUUCAACCAACAGUUGUGUGACAUUCAAGCCUGUGAACUUUCUUCUCCCUUUGAGGUUUUGAUGCAUAUGGAUCAAGAUCUUGUUUUAAUUCCUUAUGGACAGGAAUUGAAAUUGAAAUGACAAAUGACUUAGCUUGUUUGAUUUUGUUUGAUGGGAUGGAAUGGGAUGGGAUGAUGAAUGAUUUAUUGUUAGUUAUGAUUAGAUUGGGUAAAAUGCUCAAGCGCUGCCUUGCCUAAGCAUUGUUUUUACAAUGUUCACUAAAAAAGUUUUCAUGACAAUCUCUCCAUUGCCAUUCUUCCACCCCGUGUUGCAGCUGAGAGACCACUUAUGGCAGGAGGAGGUCGAUCUUGCAGGGUUGAGAUCGAACCAAUUGAUAGUCGACAAGUGAUACUAACAUCCAGUGACUGUCACGGUCAUGUUUAUCCAAGACGUGUUGUCCAAGUUGCAUGUCCAUUACAUGCCAAAACUCUUGCCUUGUAACUUUAUCGCUUUCCUUUAUUGCUUUCAUUGUGUAUGAUUUUCUUGUCUUUUUUAAGUGACUUCGGCAGAAACUUGUCUAUGCAUGAGACAUGAAAUACUCUAGACUGUAAUGUAGGGGGAUGCGACUAGUCGUCAACUUCUCACACUUAGAUUUUGUAUGACCAUUCGGUGAAAUCACGUUUAGGCUUGUCAGGCAUGAAUUGUCUCAAAAUGUAUUAUAAGGGGAUACGACUAGUUGUCAAA